rnacentral:rRNA from 1 species
GAUGAACGCUGACAGAAUGCUUAACACAUGCAAGUCAACUUGAACUUCGGUUUGGGUGGCGGACGGGUGAGUAACGCGUAAAGAACUUGCCUCACAGAUAGGGACAACAUUUGGAAACGAAUGCUAAUACCUGAUAUUAUGAUUUUAGGGCAUCCUAGGAUUAUGAAAGCUAUAUGCGCUGUGAGAGAGCUUUGCGUCCCAUUAGCUAGUUGGAGAGGUAACGGCUCACCAAGGCGAUGAUGGGUAGCCGGCCUGAGAGGGUGAUCGGCCACAAGGGGACUGAGACACGGCCCUUACUCCUACGGAGGCAGCAGUGGGGAAUAUUGGACAAUGGACCAAGAGUCUGAUCCAGCAAUUCUGUGUGCACGAUGAAGUUUUCGGGAUGUAAAUGCUUUCAGUUGGGGAAGAAAAAAAUGACGGUACCAACAGAAGAAGUGAGGCUUAAUACGUGCCAGCAGCCGCGGGAAUACGUAUGUCACAAGCGUUAUUCGGAUUUAUGGGCGUAAAACGGGUUUAGGGGGGGUAUAUAAAGUCUGAUGUGAAAAUGCAGGGCUCCACUCCUUUAUUGGCGUGGGAAAAUUGUUUAACUAGAGGGACUGGGAGAGGGAAACGGGAAUUCCAAGGGUUGAGGGGGAAAAUCGGAGAUAAUUGUUGGGGAAGCCCAUGGGGGAAACCAGGGUUCUUGAAAGAAAAUCGACGUUUAAACCCCAAAAACGGGUGAAAAAAAAAGGAAUUAAAUCCCUUUUGUAGCCAGGGGCGAAUUCCCCACUUUGGGGGGGCCCCGGGGAUCCCCCAUUUUUUAGGGGUCGCCCACCCCGGGGCGCCUAAUUUCCCAUAAAGGGGGGUUGGAUAAGAGGGGCGCCCGUGGCUACUUUUUAAAAACGCCGGGGCCCGGAAAACCCCUGGUGUUCCCAAGUAAAGCCCGCUGCAGCCACAUCCCCUUUUUGUGAGCUGUGUUAAGU